rnacentral:rRNA from 1 species
UAAUACGGGGGGAGCAAGCGUUGUUCGGAUUUACUGGGCGUAAAGGGCGCGUAGGCGGCCACUGCAAGUCAGUUGUGAAAUCUCCGGGCUUAACUCGGAAAGGUCAACUGAUACUGCAGGGCUAGAGUGCGGAAGGGGCAACUGGAAUUCUCGGUGUAGCGGUGAAAUGCGUAGAUAUCGAGAGGAACACCUGCGGCGAAGGCGGGUUGCUGGGCCGACACUGACGCUGAGGCGCGAAAGCUAGGGGAGCGAACGGGAUUAGAUACCCCGGUAGUCCUAGCCUUAAACGAUGGAUGCUUGGUGUCUGGGGUUUUAUAGUCCCCGGGUGCCGUCGCUAACGCUUUAAGCAUCCCGCCUGGGGAGUACGGUCGCAAGACUG